UGGGGAAUAUUGCACAAUGGGCGCAAGCCUGAUGCAGCCAUGCCGCGUGUAUGAAGAAGGCCUUCGGGUUGUAAAGUACUUUCAGCGGGGAGGAAGGCGAUAAGGUUAAUAACCUUGUCGAUUGACGUUACCCGCAGAAGAAGCACCGGCUAACUCCGUGCCAGCAGCCGCGGUAAUACGGAGGGUGCAAGCGUUAAUCGGAAUUACUGGGCGUAAAGCGCACGCAGGCGGUCUGUCAAGUCGGAUGUGAAAUCCCCGGGCUCAACCUGGGAACUGCAUUCGAAACUGGCAGGCUAGAGUCUUGUAGAGGGGGGUAGAAUUCCAGGUGUAGCGGUGAAAUGCGUAGAGAUCUGGAGGAAUACCGGUGGCGAAGGCGGACCCCUGGACAAAGACUGACGCUAAGGUGCGAAAGCGUGGGGAGCAAACAGG
rnacentral:rRNA from 1 species